AUGCAAGUCGAACGCAGUAGCAAUACUGAGUGGCAAACGGGUGAGUAUAAUGUGGGAAUCUGCCUUUUGGUUUGGAAUAACACGAGGAAACUUGUGCUAAUACCGAAUAAGCCCUUACGGGGAAAGUUUUAACGCCGAAAGAUGAGCCUGCACUUGAUUAACUAGUUGGUAAGGUAAAGGCUUACCAAGGCUACGAUCAAUAGCUGUUCUUAGAGGAAGACCAGCCACAUUGGGACUGAGACACGGCCCAGACUCCUACGGGAGGCAGCAGUGGGGAAUCUUGCACAAUGGGGGAAACCCUGAUGCAGCGAUGCCGCGUGAGUGAAGAAGGCCUUUGGGUUGUAAAACUCUUUCGUCGGGGAAGAAAAUGACUGUACCCGAAUAAGAAGGUCCGGCUAACUUCGUGCCAGCAGCCGCGGUAAUACGAAGGGACCUAGCGUAGUUCGGAAUUACUGGGCUUAAAGAGCUCGUAGGUGGUUAAAAAAGUUGAUGGUGAAAUCCCAAGGCUCAACCUUGGAACUGCCAUCAAAACUUUUUAGCUAGAGUGUGAUAGAGGUAAGUGGAAUUUCUAGUGUAGAGGUGAAAUUCGUAGAUAUUAGAAAGAACACCAAAUGCGAAGGCAACUUACUGGGUCACUACUGACACUGAGGAGCGAAAGCAUGGGUAGCGAAGAGGAUUAGAUACCCUCGUAGUCCAUGCCGUAAACGAUGUGUGCUAGACGUUGGAAAUAUAUUUUUCAGU
rnacentral:rRNA from 1 species